GUCCAUGGCCAUGCCACCCUGAAAGUGCCCAAUUUCGUCUGAUCUCGGAAGCUAAGCAGGAUCGGGCUUGGUUAGUACUUGGAUGGGAGACCACCUAGGAACACCAGGUGCUGUAGGCG
rnacentral:rRNA from 1 species